GAUGAACGCUGGCGGCGUGCCUAAUACAUGCAAGUCGAGCGGACGGACGAGAAGCUUGCUUCUCUGAUGUUAGCGGCGGACGGGUGAGUAACACGUGGAUAACCUACCUAUAAUACUGGGAUAACUUCGGGAAACCGGAGCUAAUACCGGAUAAUAUUUUGAACCGCAUGGUUCAAAAGUGAAAGACGGUCUUGCUGUCACUUAUAGAUGGAUCCGCGCUGCAUUAGAUAGUUGGUAAGGUAACGGCUUACCAAGGCAACGAUGCAUAGCCGAACUGAGAGGCUGAUCGGCCACACUGGAACUGAGACACCGUCAAGACUACUACGGGAGGCAGCAGUCGGGAAUGUGACGCAAUGGGCGAAAGUCUGACGGAGCAACGCCGAGUGAGUGACGAAGGCCUUCGGAUCGUAAAACUCUGUUAUUAGGGAAGAACCUCUGUGUAAGUAAAUGUGCCCAUCUUGACGGUACCUAAUCAGAAAGCAACGGCUAACUACGUG
rnacentral:rRNA from 1 species